AGUCUCAGGUAGUAUCUUUAGAGCAGUGUGAAAACAGACUAAUACAGGAAGAGAGUGAUAACCAACCUUCAUGAGACUUUCUCCACUGGACAAGCCCUGUGCUCAAUGCUUUGUGGACUCAACUCAUGGAUUCAUUUAAUUCUUAAAACAAUUCUACGAGUAGAUUGUAACAAUGUCCUCAUUUUACAAACAAGAAUGGAGGCUUGGAGGAAGUAGGCAACUUGCCCACGAGGAUGUAAUUCCAAAGUGGUGGAAUAUAUAUUCACCACUUUGGAAUUCACGUAGAUU
rnacentral:lncRNA from 1 species